rnacentral:rRNA from 1 species
UACGUAGGGGGCAAGCGUUGUCCGGAAUCAUUGGGCGUAAAGCGCGCGUAGGCGGCCCGGUAAGUCCGUUGUGAAAGUCAAAGGCUCAACCUUUGAACGCCGAUGGAUACUGCCGGGCUAGAGUCCGGAAGAGGCGAGUGGAAUUCCUGGUGUAGCGGUGAAAUGCGCAGAUAUCAGGAAGAACACCCGUGGCUAAGGCGGCUCUCUGGGACGGUACUGACGCUGAGACGCGAAAGCGUGGGGAGCGAACAGG